rnacentral:rRNA from 1 species
AUUGAACGCUGGCGGCAUGCUUUACACAUGCGAGUCGAACGGCAGCGCGGGGCAACCUGGCGGCGAGUGGCGAACGGGUGAGUAAUAUAUCGGAGCGUACCCAAGAGUGGGGGAUAACGUAGCGAAAGUUACGCUAAUACCGCAUACGAUCUAAGGCGGAAAGUGGGGGAUCGCAAGACCUCAUGCUCCUGGAGCGGCCGAUAUCUGAUUAGAUAGUUGGUGAGGUAAAGGCUCACCAAGGCUACGAUCAGUAGCUGGUCUGAGAGGACGACCAGCCACACUGGAACUGAGACACGGUCCAGACUCCUACGGGAGGCAGCAGUGGGGAAUUUUGGACAAUGGGCGCAAGCCUGAUCCAGCAAUGCCGCGUGAGUGAAGAAGGCCUUCGGGUUGUAAAGCUCUUUUGUCAGGGAAGAAACGGUCUCAGCUAACAUCUGGGGCUAAUGACGGUACCUGAAGAAUAAGCACCGGCUAACUACGUGCCAGCAGCCGCGGUAA